GACAGAGGGUGCAAACGUUGUUCGGAUUUACUGGGCGUAAAGGGCGCGUAGGCGGCCUUCUAAGUCGAACGUGAAAUCCCCGGGCUCAACCCGGGAACUGCGUCCGAUACUGGAAGGCUUGAAUCCGGGAGAGGGAUGUGGAAUUCCAGGUGUAGCGGUGAAAUGCGUAGAUAUCUGGAGGAACACCGGUGGCGAAGGCGACAUCCUGGACCGGUAGUUGACGCUGAGGC
rnacentral:rRNA from 1 species